UACGAAGGGGGCUAGCGUUGCUCGGAAUUACUGGGCGUAAAGGCGCGUAGGCGGCACUGUUAGUCAGGCGUGAAAUUCCUGGGCUCAACCUGGGGACUGCGCUUGAUACGGCAGAGCUUGAGGAUGGAAGAGGGUCGCGGAAUUCCCAGUGUAGAGGUGAAAUUCGUAGAUAUUGGGAAGAACACCGGUGGCGAAGGCGGCGACCUGGUCCAUUACUGACGCUGAGGCGCGACAGCGUGGGGAGCAACAGG
rnacentral:rRNA from 1 species